CCAUUGGCUGAGGAAGGAGCCGCAACGAGGACUCGGGGAACGGCAAACAGGACAGAGGACUGGGGAACAGAGACAGAGGAAGAAGGGAAGGAUUCAGAGGGAAGAAAACAGGGAAGGGAAGGAAACAGAGGAAGAAAGGUGGCAGGAGAAGGUACAAGGGGGCGGCUCGGGUGGAACGGCAAACUGAGGAAGCCAAACAGGCGGCAAACAGGGCGGCCAGCAUAUUCGGGGAAGAGAGAAAGAAAGGCAGCAGGAGCAGGAAUGAGGGAGCGGCUGGGGCAGGACGCGGGGAACGGCAGGCGGGAAUUGGCUGGCAACCUUGGAGCAGCAGGAGCAGGGACUUCGGUCUAGAAUUAAUAUUUCCAUUGCUGGCUCGUUCCCCAGGAAAUUUGCCGAGCCAACAAGUGGCCUUCCUGCUUGAGGAUAGUAUUCCUGCCAUUACUUGGAAAGUGGUGGGCUUCUGUGCAGCAGCUCGAAGACUGCGUCGGCUUCUAAUUAAUAAAUCCAGUGCUGCCCUAUAGCUUUUUAGUUAUAGUAUAGUUGGUGGGUUUUGAGACUGUUGACCUGUUAUCUUUUUAAUUGUUAUUUAUGUUUUUAUUUCAAUUGUAUAUUCACUCUGUCUUAUUUAUAAAUUUUUGAGUUUUAGUAAUUAAUUCCCUCCUUAAGAUUGGGAGGCUUUUGGUGGUUUCAGUAAUAUACCCUAGAGUAUUGUGAUAUAAGUGGUAUUAUGUUUUUAUCUUGAACUGUGUUGUAUGUUCUGUCUCCUUGUUGUGCUGGUCGAGGACUGUAAUAAACCUUGAACUUGAA